GCCAGCGCCCCAGCACCGCGCGCGUCACCUCCGCCUGCUCCAGCAGACCUAACUCAAGUGCUGUCCUGCUAACUACAUGGGACCUGCUGAAACCGAAAUGAACCGAGAUUCCAGUUCUGUGCAGAGAUGGCCGGACCUGCGUUGGGGACAUGCCUGGACCACCCAGCCCACUGGCCUUCAACUGGUCUGAAAGCCCCUGCCUGAGACCUUCAUUUCCAAGCCCGGGCACAAGUCUGGCUCUCGAGGACCGGGGCACUCCCUGGAGGACCCACCUCCAUCCCAGCUGUCGGAAGAAAAACUGCUGUUACUCACGUCGCAUGGGCCUCUCCCUAGGACCCGCUGGCCCCUCAAAGCUGCGACAGCACAGACGUGGCCUGGCACCCAGCAAGGCCUCUGACACCUGAUACACACGGUGGGGCCAGGCCGGAUGGAGAGCAUCGCUGAGCCUGCCUCUGGUUCCAAAGCUUGGGAGGCUCCUCUGCGAGGCCACCUUGUGGUGCAGAGUGGAUCUGCAGCUUGAGGGGAGCUCCAGGUCCCAGCCAGAGGGGGCGUGGACUUGGCGGCAGCUCCACCCAGCUGGUGUCAUGGGCGUUCUGUGGGCAACAGGGUUUGGACCCUAAAAGUGCCAGUUCUGUCUGCUGCUCUGAUCCGGAACAAGAGCGUCUGUCUCGUAGCAGCUACACGUGUGACACAGAAGCUCUCGUCAUUUCACACGCGGUGUGGAAAACAUUCUCUAUGUCACAGGCACACAGAACCCACAUUCACCUAUCG
rnacentral:lncRNA from 1 species